rnacentral:rRNA from 1 species
CAGGCCUAACCAUGCAAGUCUACGAGAAAAGAGUAGCAAUAUUCUGAGUAAAGUGGCGCCGGGUGCGUAACACGUAAGCAAUCUACCUUUGGGUUCGGAAUAACUCCGGAAAUCGGGGCUAAUACCGGAUGAUGCAGCGGCACCGCAUGGUGAUGUUUUAAAGUUCUUGUAACGCCUAUAGAUGAGCUUGCGUCUGAUUAGCUAGUGGUGAGGUAAAGGCCCACCAAGGCUACGAUCAGUAGCUGGUCUGAGAGGUGAUCAGCCACACUGGAACUGAGACACGGUCCAGACUCCUACGGGAGGCGCAGUGAGGAAUAUUGGGCAAUGGUCGAAAGACUGACCCAGCAACGCCGGUGGAGGAUGAAUGUCGUAAGAUUGUAAACUCCUGUUAGAGGGGAAGAAAGCUCCGAUCGCAUCGGAGUUUGACUGUACCCUCAGAGAAAGCCCCGGCAACUACGUGCCAGCAGCCGCGG